rnacentral:misc_RNA from 1 species
UGAACUCUCAACCCCUGGAGUCUUUUAAACGGACCACCUCGGGCUUGGAUCAUGGACGAUGCCGGCCCCCCUCGGGGGUGUGGCUCGUCUGAAAUACAUGAGCUGACCUGUCUGCGAACAGCACGGUUUGACACGGCGUAAUAAAUCCAUUUUUCGUCGGGGACACCCUUCGCGGGGUGGCCGGGCUCGCGGUCUUCGGGUUGCUUACAAUCGAAUAGUCCCAUCUAU